rnacentral:rRNA from 1 species
GAUGAAGGGAGCUUGCUCCUGGAUUCAGCGGCGGACGGGUGAGUAAUGCCUAGGAAUCUGCCUGUAGUGGGGGAUAACGUCCGGAAACAGGCGCUAAUACCGCAUACGUCCUGAGGGAGAAAGUGGGGGAUCUUCGGACCUCACGCUAUCAGAUGAGCCUAGGUCGGAUUAGCUAGUUGGUGGGGUAAAGGCCUACCAAGGCGACGAUCCGUAACUGGUCUGAGAGGAUGAUCAGUCACACUGGAACUGAG